AUUGAACGCUGGCGGAAUGCUUUACACAUGUAAGUCGAACGGCAGCACGGACUUCGGUCUGGUGGCGAGUGGCGAACGGGUGAGUAAUGUAUCGGAACGUGCCCAGUCGUGGGGGAUAACGUAGUGAAAAUUACGCUAAUACCGCAUACGAUCUAUGGAUGAAAGCGGGGGAUCGCAAGACCUCGCGCGAUUGGAGCGGCCGAUAUCAGAUUAGGUAGUUGGUGGGGUAAAGGCCCACCAAGCCAACGAUCCGUAGCGGGUCUGAGCGGACGACUAGCAAGCGUGGAACUGAGACACGGCCCAGACUCCUACGGGAGGAAGCAGUGGGGACUUUUGGACAAUGGGCGAAAGCCUGAUCCAGCCAUCCCGCGUGCAGGAUGAAGGCCCUCGGGUUGUAAACUGCUUUUGUACAGAACGAAAAGGUUUCUACUAAUACUAGGAGCUCAUGACGGUACUGUAAGAAUAAGCACCGGCUAACUACGUGCCAGCCGCCGCGGUAA
rnacentral:rRNA from 1 species